GACGAACGCUGGCGGCGUGCCUAAUACAUGCAAGUAGAACGCUGAAGGAGGAGCUUGCUUCUCUGGAUGAGUUGCGAACGGGUGAGUAACGCGUAGGUAACCUGCCUGGUAGCGGGGGAUAACUAUUGGAAACGAUAGCUAAUACCGCAUAAGAGUAGAUGUCGCAUGACAUUUGCUUAAAAGGUGCAAUUGCAUCACUACCAGAUGGACCUGCGUUGUAUUAGCUAGUUGGUGAGGUAACGGCUCACCAAGGCAACGAUACAUAGCCGACCUGAGAGGGUGAUCGGCCACACUGGGACUGAGACACGGCCCAGACUCCUACGGGAGGCAGCAGUAGGGAAUCUUCGGCAAUGGACGGAAGUCUGACCGAGCAACGCCGCGUGAGUGAAGAAGGGUUUCGGAUCGUAAAGCUCGGUUGUAAGAGAAGAACGAGUGUGAGAGUGGAAAGUUCACACUGUGACGGUAUCUUACCAGAAAGGGACGGCUAACUACGUG
rnacentral:rRNA from 1 species